rnacentral:misc_RNA from 1 species
UACGGGGGGGACAAACGGUGGUCGGAUUUACUGGGCGUAAAGCGCGCGUAGGUGGUUUGAUAAGCGAGAUGUGAAAGCCCCGGGCUUAACCUGGGAACGGCAUUUCGAACUGUCAGGCUAGAGUGUGGUAGAGGGUAGUGGAAUUUCCUGUGUAGCGGUGAAAUGCGUAGAUAUAGGAAGGAACACCAGUGGCGAAGGCGGCUACCUGGACCAACACUGACACUGAGGUGCGAAAGCGUGGGGAGCAAACAGG